GUAAAAAACAGGAGUUAUAAUGAUUCAAAUACGAUUCAAGGAAACAGAACCUCCUGGACGAAAAAUAUUUUCAUUAUGAAAACAGAAAAAAGAUACUUAAUGUAAUGGACACGCAGACUUCGCAGGCUUUAAAAGACUGUCAGGAUAUACAGCAUAUGAUAGAUAUUACAUCACAACAUCUAGAUAGACUCAGAUCAACAUUCAGUAAUGCUAGUGACGAACUAACCCGUCAGGAGAUCAGAACUUUAGAAGGGAAAUUAGUGAAACACUUCAGUGAGCAGCUUGCGGUAAAAUAUGGACUUGGAGCCAACAAUUCAGAUUUUGUUUACUUCCCUUCUCUCUCACAGUGGCUUCAGGUGGUGGGGGUAUCCUGUGAUACGAAAGAUGCCAUCUGUCAGAGAGUCCGAUCCCUAGAGGAUCUAAAGGAUAAGACUGAAUGUGAAUUGAAAAGGAUCCUCCUAACUGCCUCCAGAGUUCCUCCGAAUGUUCGGCAUGAAGACCUCCGACGUCUCUGUCGUAGCCUUCAUAAUCUCAGGAAGUACACUGAUGUACUGGUCUACGGUGGGAAAAUGUACGGGCCGGGUGGGGACCCGUCUAAACUUGAACUCUACUGGGACAGCUGGGACAUGCCACAUUCAAAAAGUGAGUGUAGUUCCCCGAAGAAUAGUUUCACGUUACCAAACCGUCUGGUUCAUAUCUCUACAGACGAUCUACCAAUCUCCUCCCCUCUACCCUUCUCUAGAUCUCACCAGAAUAGGCCUGCUGACAGUACCUCAUCAAGUGUGAGUAGUAGUUCCUCUGCUCCGCCUCCUUCACCAGGCUGCUCCACCCUUUCCCCACCCUCCAUCACGGAGUCCUUGUCCAGGGGGUCUAUGAUCACACCCCCUGCCACACCCCCCUGGGUUGUCCUGACCAAGGAGAAGGGGCGGGGAGCCCCGCAUUCUACCCCGCCGGCCAGUAAGAAGCUCUCUACCUCUAGUCAUGGUGUGAGAGAUCUGUCAGCCUUGAGUAAAUCCAAGUCCCAGGAAUCUGAGUUGAGUAACAGAAUAGACAACUUUAUUGUGGAAACUCAAACAGAGGGUAGAUUAGAACCAGGGGAGAGGAUAGAUUCCUCUGGUUACUCAAGCGCCAGUGAGGCGCCUAGCUCUAGUAGGCGCCGGCUACCUUCUUCAGAUCCUGAGGGUUCACAGUCUGAUUGUCAGGGACCUAGUCCUGUGUCUAGUCCUAAGUCUCCAGCUGUACUGAAGAGUAGUCUCCAGGUCCCCAGAUCACCUCGGACUCCUGGAGUAAUGGUUCCACCAGCUAACAGACCUAUGACUCAUAUCAUUAACCAUAGGUUUACUAAAACCUUUAAACCUGCCAGAUGUAUGUACUGUCAGGAGAUCUUCUUUCAGGGAAUGAAAUGCAAAGAGUGCAAGUUUCGUUGUCACACCCUCUGUCAAAGCCUAGUCCCGCCCUCUUGCGGUCUUCCUGACGAUCUUCUUCAGCAUUUCAUGCAUCAUCUUACAUCAGAGGGAUCACCGAUCCUUCCACGAUCCCAACCUACUAGUCUAGUUCAACCACCCUUUCAUUCUAGUUCAUCCAGCUGUAAUUCAUCCACACCCUCCUCCCCUCAGGUUAUUGUUACAUCACAUCCUACUCCUCCCUGGGUAGUUAGAUCCGGUCAACAUUUUCAUUUCCCGGAUCCUUCAAAUCCAAGACAGUUCUCCUCUCCUGUACAGGUGGUUGAAAGUGUAGGAAGUGCUAACCCACUGGUGGAUACAGUCAAAUCUAACGACAGCGAUAAAACCCUAUCAGGGAGCUCUGAUAGUAUAGGGACUGCGUAUAGACUAGACUCCCAGGACUCCACUACUAGUGUAGAAGGGGAUGCCGCCUCAACAUGGUCCAGUGGAAGACAGAUGAGUAUCCGAGAAUGGGACAUUCCCUACGAAGAACUCAAGAUCAUGGAUAAAAUCGGCAGUGGACGAUUUAGCACGGUCCACAUGGGAAACUGGCACGGGGAUGUUGCAAUUAAAGUUCUUGAUGUCGAGAAUCUUGAGGAUGAGACAGCUGCAUUGGAGGCAUUUAAACUGGAUGUUGCAACUUUCAGGAAAACUCGGCAUGAAAACCUGGUUUUGUUCAUGGGAGCUUGUAUGAAGCCUCCUAAACUGGCGAUUGUUACUUCUCUUUGUAAGGGAAACACACUGUACACACAUCUUCACCUCAGAAAGGAUAAAUUUUUCAUGAACAAGAUUAUAAUAAUCGCGCAGCAGAUCGCGCUUGGGAUGGGCUACCUUCAUCAUCGCGGCAUCGUGCACAAGGACCUGAAAACUAAAAACAUUUUCUUAGAGAAUAGCCGCGCCAUUAUCGCCGAUUUUGGAUUGGUGAAUGUCGCUCGCCGUCUGUGUUCUCGAUAUCGGCGGCCCGGUGAUUCUCGCGGCGGUAUAUCUGAAUGUAUGUCAAUACCAGCAGGCUGGUUGUGCUACCUGGCUCCUGAGGUUAUUAGAGAACUACGGGUUCAUCAAACACGUGGAGAGGAUCUACCUUUCACCAGGUCAAGUGAUGUCUACGCGUUUGGAACUGUUUGGUACGAGCUAUUGACCGGUGAAUGGCCGUGGAAACAUCGGCCACCAGAAUCCAUUAUUUGGCAGGUUGGACACGGUAUCAAACCAACCCUGGCAAACCUUCAGGCUAGCCGGGAGGUUAAAGAUAUCCUGGUUCAAUGUUGGCUCUUCAACCCUGAGAGAAGACCUGAUUUCUCCGAUAUUGUUCAAAGUCUGGAGAAACUACCAAAGAAGAGAUUGGCACGAUCUCCCUCCCAUCCCAUUCAUCUUUCAAGAUCCGCAGAAUCAGUUUUUUAAACCCCUUAAAGGGACUUUUAUGUGUAAAUUCAAGUGACCCUCCAUUUAUAGAGUGGCAUCUUCGAUUCACAACGACACCCUUUAAAACGACAAUAUAUUUCUAAAUCCACUUCAGAUUAAGGGUUCUAGAGUACCGUUGUUCAUUGGGCAUGUCAUGUAAUUAGAGACUCACUUAGAAAUACAAACAGUCCCUUUAACAGGGGGUCCAUAAUCCAUAUAAACAUGAGAAUAUUUGUUUUGUUGACUUCUUAAUCGAUUUUUAUUCAUAAUUCAAUAAUUCGGUGAUUUUCUAGAAAUCUGAUCGUAAAGGGAAUGAGAAAUCCGUUCCUUAUGAUUUCAUAGCUGUAACGUGCCGGGCAUUCCCAACACUUGUCAUUCUUAGAACAUUCCUACAUAUUGAUCUUUUUGUGAACUUUAGCCCUGUCAGAAUAUUUAUAUUAAUCCUGCAUAUCUUGUCUACAGUG
rnacentral:misc_RNA from 1 species